rnacentral:rRNA from 1 species
UGAGGAAUAUUGGUCAAUGGGCGAGAGCCUGAACCAGCCAAGUAGCGUGCAGGAUGACGGCCCUAUGGGUUGUAAACUGCUUUUAUAUGGGAAUAAAGUGAGGGACGUGUCCCUUAUUGCAUGUACCAUAUGAAUAAGGACCGGCUAAUUCCGUGCCAGCAGCCGCGGUAAUACGGAAGGUCCAGGCGUUAUCCGGAUUUAUUGGGUUUAAAGGGAGCGUAGGCUGUUUGUUAAGCGUGUUGUGAAAUGUAAGAGCUCAACUUUUAGAUUGCAGCGCGAACUGGCAGACUUGAGUGCGCACAACGUAGGCGGAAUUCAUGGUGUAGCGGUGAAAUGCUUAGAUAUCAUGACGAACUCCGAUUGCGAAGGCAGCUUACGGGAGCGCAACUGACGCUAAAGCUCGAAGGGGCGGGUAUCGAACAGG